CUCAUUUAACCAUCAAAUUUAAACUAAUACUAAUCUCUAAUAUCAAUUGAUUCCAGUUAAAUACAAUUAAGCACAUGAUCAAAAUUGAAAGAGGAUUUAGGGCUACGUAUUGGAGUUACCACGUUCUUCUUCUUCACCUGAACAGCGGCGGCGGCGGUAUCAUCUCCGUCUCCGAUCAAACACUCACGCUUCCGUCUCACUCGACCCUCUCUCGGUUCGCAUCCUCUCUAUGCUAUCGAUUCACUCUAUCAUCUCUCCAUCUUCUCCGAUUCAAUCAAGGUAACGGCUACCAGAGACACUCAUGCCGGCGGUGGAUGCGACGACAAGUUCGCAAAGGCCGGAGAACGUGCUUUUUUUCCAAUCGGACUCUGCAUUGAAGUUUAUUGAACGCAGUUUGAGGAGCUGUUGUUGACGCGUCUAUGGAGGUUCGUUGUUGCUUCUGUAGCGUAGUGAUGGUGAUGAUGUGCGUUGUUGUUGUGGUGAGGUUGUCGUUUGAAAAUGAUGAGCGAUGACGUUGCUGUGCCUCCGAACUCGCCGACGAAGAACAAACGAAGAAUCACUUCAAGAACUCAGGUGAUGUCAUCUCUCCUCUUCUAAAUUCAUCUUCCUCCUUAUGAAAUCAAUUGCGUUGCGAAUUUCUUCGUGCAAUCUCUGUUGAAGUUCUGAAGAUGAUGGAUCGAAGUUGAUGAAGAUUGAAGUGAGGAGAAGUUUGUUACGAUUCGUGGUGUUGAGUUCUUGGAUUCAGAAUGAAGGAAGAUUGAAUUCUGGCGGUGAAGAUUCUAAAGGAUGAAGGGAGGUUUUGAGGAAGAGGGAGAGAGUUUGAAGGUUUCGUGAAGAAUUGGAUGAAGAUGAUUGUAGCAUUUGAAGAGAGAGUCGAAGAUUUGGAGGUGAAGGUUCCAGAUUGAAGGGUGAGUGAUCCAGAUGAAGGCGCCGAGAGGUUGAAGCGUGUUGAAGAAGUUUGUUACGUUUCUCCCCAAUUCUGUUACGUUUGGAUUUGUUUAUAAGCAGAACUUUCGAUGCCGCCUUGGAUUUUCAGUCUGAAUUCGGUUCAGCUCUCUUCUUGAUGCAGGAAGCGGUUGACUCGGUCCAGUUAUCCUUUUGGUGUAGCAAGCGUUUGGACAUUAGAACAAUAGGUCCAUUUUUUUGUUGUAAUUUCUUUUUGUGUAAUGUCAUGUUUGUAUAGAAUUUGGGGACUUUGUUUGAAUUGUAUUUUGAAUGAAUAUAUGGACUGAAUUUAUUUUGCAA